rnacentral:misc_RNA from 1 species
GAUGAAGAACGUAGCGAAAUGCGAUAAGUAAUGUGAAUUGCAGAAUUCCGUGAAUCAUCGAAUCUUUGAACGCACAUUGCGCCCCCUGGCAUUCCGGGGGGCAUGCCUGUCCGAGCGUCAUUUCUGCCCUCCAGCCCGGCUGGGUGUUGGGCGCUGUCCCCCCGGGGACACGCCCCAAAGGCAGUGGCGGCACCGCGUCCGGUCCUCGAGCGUAUGGGGCUUCGUCACCCGCUCUUGUAGGCCCGGCCGGCGCUUGCCGACACAUCAAUCUUUUUUCCAGGUUGACCUCGGAUCAGGUAGGGAUACCCGCUGAACUUAAGCAUAUCAAUAAGCGGAGGA